GGGGAGGGGGUGGUGGUCCGUUAGUGGCGUUGGGCUCCGGCCGCCGCCGUGGCAGCGCUUUCUCCUCCGCUCACGGAGAGCUGCUCAGGUUGCAGGCCAACCAGCUCUUGCCGCCGCCUCGGUCGCGAUGGGGGCGCAGGACCGGCCGCAGUGCCACUUCGACAUCGAGAUCAACCGGGAGCCGGUUGGUCGCAUUAUGUUUCAGCUCUUCUCAGACAUAUGUCCAAAAACAUGCAAAAACUUCCUUUGCCUAUGCUCAGGAGAGAAAGGCCUUGGGAAAACAACUGGGAAGAAGUUAUGUUACAAAGGUUCUACAUUCCAUCGUGUGGUUAAAAACUUUAUGAUUCAGGGUGGGGACUUCAGCGAAGGUAAUGGAAAAGGCGGAGAAUCAAUUUAUGGUGGAUAUUUUAAAGAUGAAAACUUUAUUCUCAAACAUGACAGAGCGUUCCUUUUGUCAAUGGCAAAUCGAGGGAAACAUACCAAUGGUUCCCAGUUUUUCAUUACCACAAAACCUGCUCCACACCUGGAUGGGGUUCAUGUCGUCUUUGGAUUAGUUAUUUCUGGUUUUGAAGUAAUCGAACAGAUUGAAAAUCUGAAAACGGAUGCUGCAAGUAGACCUUAUGCAGAUGUGCGAGUUAUUGAUUGUGGGGUGCUUGCCACAAAAUCAACAAAAGAUGUUUUUGAGAAAAAAAGGAAGAAACCAACUCAUUCAGAAGACUCGGAUUCCUCUUCCAAUUCCUCUUCCUCUUCAGAAUCUUCUUCAGAAAGUGAAAUUGAACAUGAGAGAAGCAGAAGAAGGAAACGUAAGAGGCGGCCAAAAGUUAAACAUUCUAAAAAGAGACGAAAGGAAGCAAGCAGUUCAGAAGAGCCAAGGAAUAAACAUAUAAUGAGCCCAAAAGGUCACUCAGAGAGGAGUGAUACCAAUGAAAAAAGGUCAGUUGAUUCAAAUGCUAAAAGAGAAAAGCCUGUGGUCCGCCCAGAGGAGAUUCCUCCAGUUCCUGAGAACCGAUUUUUACUGAGAAGAGAUAUGCCUCUUGUCACCGUGGAACCUGAACCGAAGAUUCCUGAUGUUACACCUGUUGUAAGUGAUCAAAAACCAUCUGUAUCAAAAUCUGGACGGAAGAUUAAAGGAAGGGGCACAAUUCGCUAUCACACUCCUCCAAGAUCAAGAUCAUGUUCUGAAUCAGACGAUGAUGAUAGCAGUGAAACUCCUCCUCACUGGAAAGAAGAAAUGCAGAGAUUAAGAGCAUACAGACCACCUAGUGGAGAAAAAUGGAGUAAAGGAGAUAAAUUAAGUGACCCCUGUUCAAGCCGAUGGGAUGAGAGAAGCUUGUCCCAGAGAUCCAGAUCGUGGUCCUAUAAUGGAUAUUAUUCAGACCUUAGUACAGCAAGACACUCCGACGGUCACCAUAAAAAACGCAGGAAAGAGAAAAAGGUUAAACAUAAAAAGAAAGCUAAAAAGCAGAAACGUUGCAGAAGACACAAGCAGACCAAGAAGAGAAGGAUUAUUGUACCAUCAGACAUAGAAUCCUCAAAAUCUUCCACCCGAAGAAUGAAAUCCUCUUGUGACAGAGAAAGGAGAUCUCGUUCUUCCUCGUUAUCAUCUCAUCACUCAUCAAAGAGGGACUGGUCUAAAUCUGAUAAGGGUGACCAGAGCUCUUCAACCCAUUCCAGCAGAGACUCCUACAGAUCUAAAUCUCACUCGCAGUCUUAUUCCAGAGGAAGCUCAAGAUCAAGGACUCCAUCAAAAUCCUCAUCACAUUCUCGAAGUAGAUCAAAGUCCCGAUCUACUUCCAAGUCAGGGCACCAAAGGACAGCAUCAAAAUCACCAAGACGAACAACCUCUCAGUUAAGUGAAAAUAAACCAGUUAAAACGGAACCUUUAAGAGCAACAGUGCCACAAAAUGAAAACGUCGUAGUACAACCAGUGGUAGCGGAAAAUAUUCCUGUAAUACCACUGAGUGACAGUCCCCCUCCUUCAAGGUGGAAGCCGGGACAGAAGCCCUGGAAGCCCUCUUAUGAGCGAAUUCAGGAAAUGAAAGCUAAAACAACCCAUUUGCUGCCCCUCCAAAGCACUUACAGUUUAGCAAAUAUCAAAGACACUGGAAGUUCAUCAUCCUACCAUAAAAGAGAAAAAAAUUCAGAAAGUGAUCGGAGUGCUUAUUCAAAAUACAGUGAUAGAAGUUCGGAAAGUUCACCAAGGUCAAGGAGCAGAUCUUCUAGGAGUAGAUCUUAUUCCAGAUCAUACACAAGGUCACGAAGUCUAGCUAGUUCACAUUCAAGAUCUAGGUCUGCCUCAUCUAGAUCUCAUUCACGAAAUAAAUACAGUGAUCGUUCACAGUGUAGUAGAUCAUCGUCAUACUCCUCCGUUAGCAGUGAUGAUGGAAGACGAGCCAAGAGAAAAUUUAGAUCCAAUGGGAAAAAAAGUAACACUUCAAAUAAGAGGCACAGCAGCAGCUCUGAGAAGAGACUUCGCAAUAAAUAUGUGAAAAGCAGAGACAAGUCUUCGAGUCAGAGGAAGUAUAGCGAAAGCAGGUCAUCUUUAGAUUAUUCUUCGGACAGUGAACAGUCAAGUGUUCAGGUUACACAGUCAGUCCAGGAAAAAGAGAGGCAAGUCCAGAUGGAAAUGAACAAUAAGCAAGAGAAAAACAGAGAUGAAGAGAAAUCCAAGCCUGAACAGGAAUGCCCUCGUUCAAAGAAAAGGGCCUUGAAAGAGAAUCUUUUUGAUCACCUUAGAAAUGGCAAUAAGCCCAAAAGGAAGAAUUAUGCUGGGAGUAAAUGGGACUCUGAGUCAAACUCUGAACGAGAUGUAACUAAAAACAGUAAAAAUAUUUCCCGGCCAUCUUCUGAUAAGGAGGAAGGUGAAGCUACGUCAGAUUCUGAGUCAGAGUUUGGUGAAAUUCACAGCAAAGCCAAACCCCCAACAAAGUCUUCAGCAAGUACUUCGUUGCCCGAUGGUAAUGGUGCUUGGAAAUCAAGUAAGCAGCAGUCUUCAACCUCUGAUUCCGAGGGGUCCUAUUCCAAUUCAGAAAACACUAGAAGAAAGGCACGGAAGCACAAAUACGGGUCAAAGGAAAAUCUUAGACGGGAACAGACCAAAAAAGCAAAGGAGAAACUGAAAGGGAAAAAAGACAAAAAGCACAAGGCUCCAAAACGAAAACAGGCAUUUCACUGGCAGCCUCCACUAGAAUUUGGUGAGGAGGAGGAGGAGGAGACUAGUGAGAAACAAGUUACUCAAGAGGCAAAAGAGAAAAAACAAGUUUCUGAAAAUAGUGAGACCAUGAAAGAAAACAUUUCGCACACCGAGAGGUCUUGCGAAGAGGGCCGCCUUUCAGGUAAAUGUAAUCUCAUCAUGACUUCAUCAGAUACUGGGCAGCCUCCUAAAGAGGAUAGUAAACUGGGCGCUUCUCCCACAGCUUUCAGUUCUGACGAACAGGGAGCCGCUUCUCCCUCCAGCAUUCAGCAUAUUGCAGAAAGGGCCCCAAGCGGAGUGGAGGAUGUGCUGCAGACAGAUGACAACAUGGAGAUUUGCACUCCUGAUAGGAGUUCCCCAGCCAAGGAGGCAUCCCCUCUAGGAAAUUCAAGGCUUGCCACCCCAGACGUAAACGUUGUUCUACAACAGGAUAUGCACGCAGAGCAUCCUGAGACAGAGGAGGGAAAACAGGAAAGCAAAACGAUGGGGGACGUGGGGAAGCGGGACAGCAGCCCUGCUAGCCUGGCCAGCGCCACAGAAAGCGCCGUGAAGAGAGAGGCGGCUGAGAAGAGCCAGAUGGGCCUCCUGGAUAACAAAUGGAAGCCCCUGCAAGGGGUGGGGAACCUGGCGGCCCCGACGGCCCCCACGGCCAGCGCCACGGAGGUGAAGGCACUGACUGCUGCUCCUGAGAUGAAGCCACAAGGCUUGAGGAUAGAAAUUAAAAGCAAAAAUAAAGUUCGGCCUGGGUCUCUCUUUGAUGAAGUAAGAAAGACGGCACGCUUAAACCGGAGGCCAAGGAAUCAGGAGAGUUCAAGUGAUGAGCAGACCCCUAGUCGGGAUGGGGAUAGCCAGUCCCGGAGUCCAAGCAGAUCUCGUAGUAAAUCUGAAACCAAAUCAAGACACAGAACACGGUCUGUCUCCUACAGUCACUCAAGAAGUCGAUCGCGAAGUUCCACAUCAUCUUAUCGAUCAAGAAGCUAUUCUAGAAGUCGGAGCAGAGGAUGGUACAGCAGAGGCCGCACAAGAAGCCGGAGCAGUUCCUACCGCAGUUACAAAAGUCAUAGGACAUCCAGCAGGAGCAGAUCCAGGAGCAGCUCGUACGACCCCCAUAGUCGGUCCAGAAAAGAAAUGAACAUUUUUCUGUUUCAUGCGGUAAGUCUCACUGGGGCACUUGUUAAACGUCUCCAGUAGUUGCUGUGCACAUGUGUCCUCACACAGUCAUAGAGUGCCCAUGUCCUCAGAGAACACUGAAGAGACCGUAAGAAGAAACGGAAGCCUGUGAGUGUUGGAGUGGGGAUUAAGUGUGUGUGGUUGCCGUUGGAGCAGGUCCUGCACUUACGAUAGCUACUACAGCACGAGUCGGAGUCGCAGCAGAAGCCAGAGGAGUGACAGUUACCGCCGAGGCAGAAGGUACAGCAGGCGAUCCAGGAGUUGUAGAUCUUACGGCUCUGACAGUGAAAGUGACCGAAGUUACUCUCAUCACCGGAGCCCCAGUGAAAGCAGCACAUAUAGUUGAAAAUGUCUCCUUUUUUGAUACAAAUUAUAUCUUAUUUGUAAAUAUCUGGUAACUUAAAAAUGUAAGAAACUUAAUGGCAGUCUGUUGUUCUAUUUCAACAUUAGAAAUAAGUUUCGAAAAUAGGCACUUCUUAAUUGUUAUUGUCCAUUUACAUGUGCACAGAAUUUAAAAUACAGAUAUGUCUCCUAAAAAUAUUUUUAUGCCACAUUUUACAGUAGCCAACUUUGGGAAUGAAUUUCAUUUUCUUGAAUCAAGAAAUCAUGAAAUUUAAGUAUAAUUUGCAGUAUUAUUUUAGACAGAUUACUUCUUUCCAUCUCAUGUAUUCCUUAGAAUACAGAUUCUUUUUGCCCGUUUUUCAGGUUUUAGCGUAUAUGCUGCCAAGCCCAGAACUGUGAAGAACUGCUAAAGGUGGCCAAAUAUUUAUAUACCAGUUACACCGUCUUAUGCAUAUGUGCUCUUAGAAACAAACCACCCAGAAUCGAUACUGAUGGUAGCCAGGAGUCUUAAGGCAGUGGCUCUGGAGUUCUUAACUCAUUCCUUCCUUCUUGGUGGUCUCAGAGGGUCAGGAAAGUGGUCAUCAUACAGCCCACCGUCUGUAUUACUCCAGGCUGGCGGGUGAGGUUGGGAAGAAUAAAUCAGCCUUAACUAUAAAUACCUGCACUGUCUCCAAGGCCCUAAUGUUUUAUGUGCUUUUUAAUAAAUACUAUCAGAAGUUUAGAUUGUAAAAAACAAUUCUGUUCCGGUUCAUCUUUGGGUGCUCGGUACCUUUUGGUGCCUCUUCAAGUAUACUUUACAUUAGAAUCUCACAGGAGAGAGAGAAGUGUUUUUUUUGUUUUGUUUUUUUUUUUAAUUCGCUGGCACCAGGCAUGGUUCCUUCUGGGCUACAUUCACUUUAAGUAUCUGGAGGGUUUCUCUCAAGCUCAGGUGUGGCUUGGGGCCCCCUGGAGCAGGCAGGAUUGGCACAGAGGGUCGCGUGGCCCCUCGGGCUUGCUGCACAGAACUGGCACGCGUGCCUCCGGGAGAGCGGAUUGAAGAGUAGAAUCCAGGGUACCGCCAGACCUCACUGUCACAUCCCGGGGACAUUUUGGAGGGCUUUCCAGUCUUUCAGGUUAAGGGAGCUCUACCACAACAGCGGCUGAGCUGUUCUAAGCACCAGCACGUUUGUCUUCUUUCCGCUGUGACUCACUCUGACUCCGUGAAGCUCACACGACAUGAUAAGUCCAGGGGAAGAGGGGUGUACAGGACUGCACAAAUCACACUUUUUCAGUUUCAGGUGGUUCCUCCAAAAAUGGUUUGACCUGUAAAAACUGGUGUUUUUUGGUUUUGGGGUUUUUUUAAUCUUUGAGUUUUUUCCCCCAAGUGUACUUAAUCACCUUAGUGCCAGUUUAAGCCAGUUGUACAGAAGAAAUUCAUAUUGGAUGUUUGAUGUGGGACUCUGCUCCACCCUCCCCAGGCCUUGCUUGGGGUACUUGGGAAGUGGGAAAGAGCCCUCAGUUGGAGGGAUCUGACAACCUUGAUGGGUGGAGGGGUGACCUUGGAUAUAUUAAAACCAUCACCCAUAAAAGGUUCAUAAACAGGGUUAAAUGGUCAGCUGUUUGCCAGGUUGAUAGACGAGAGUGCAUUAGGAAAACAGGACCCAAGUCAAACAGACGUACUUCCUAGUGAGUACAGAACAAUGCAUGAUUCAUGUGAAGGGUUUUCAAGUUGCCUGUAACACUCGGUGAAAAAAACCCUACAUUCAGAACUCAGACAGAAACUGCCAAAUCUAAUUAGGUUAAGAAAAGUUACCCUUGGACAAUGUAUUCGUUUUCUACUGCUAUGUAACAAACUACCCCACACUUAGCAGCUUAAAACAACACCCAUUUCUUAGCUCACAGUUCUGUAGCUUGUGAGUCUGGCACAGUAUGGCUGGAUUCUCUGCUCAGGGUCUCAACAAGGCUGAAAUCAAGGGUCAGCAGGGCAGCAUCCUUUUAUGGAGGCUCUAGGGAAGCAUCUACUUCCAAGUUCAUUUGGUUCCUUGCUGGUUGUCAGCCGGAGGCUUCUCCCUCAGCUCCUGAAGGCUGCUCGCAUUCCUUCUUGCGCGUUCCCCUCCAUCUUCAAACCCUCAGUGGCCUUCCCAUCCCUCUGCCUUCCUCCUUCAUUUUUGAGGUUCGUGUGAUUAGAUCAAGCCAACUGAUCAAGUCUCCCUAUUUUUAGGUCGGCUCUGCCGUAGAACAUAGCAUAAUCACAGGAGUGACUGCACAGGCGCAGGCUCGGAUCGGGGCACAAAGCGAGGGGUGCGGGUGGGGCGGGCCGUCCUAGAACCCUGCCUACCCCAGACAAUAACUGCCCACUGCUGGCGCGGGGUGGGGGGGGACUGUCAUCCAAAAAAAGGUGGGCCCUGGAAGCCUCGAUUGUUUCCUCCAUGGAAAAGAACAGCCCUCAGCCGCAGCAUUCAAUUGUGUUUACUGAAUGAACUACAGAAAUAGCUUUUCUGCCUAGAGGGGAUUGUUCUGUAUUUUAAGUUAUUUUUUAAUAAAAUUUAAUUAUGUUGUGUAUUGUGCUUCUUAAUAGAAAAUGUAUUGGACUGUUUUUGUAACGUCUUGUUUACUGCAAAUGAAACAUGAUAUAGCUGGUAUUGUUCAAACCUGUAGAAAAUACUUUUGUACAUAUUGGCAAUGUCUAAUUUGUAUACACUUCAUUUAAAUGUUCCUAAAACUUGAAAGGGGGACCUUGUAGAAAUUAAAAUAUAUACUUAGUCUAAA